UCAAGCUACUAAGGGCAUACGGUGAAUGCCUUGGCACUAAGAGCCGAUGAAGGACGUGGUAAGCUGCGAAAAGCUACGGGGAGCCGCAAGCAGGCUUUGAUCCGUAGAUGUCCGAAUGGGGGAACCCACCAUCCGUCAUGGGAUGGUAUCCUUCGGGAAGGGAACCCGGUGAACUGAAACAUCUAAGUAGCCGGAGGAAGAGAAAUCAAACGAGAUGCCCACAGUAGCGGCGAGCGAAGAGGGCAGAGCCUAAACCAGAGAGCUUCGGCUCCCUGGGGUUACGGACUGGCAUAAACCGAGUCAGGCCUAGCUGAAUCACCUGGAAAGGUGAGCCACAGACCGUGAGAGCCGGGUAGGCGAAAGGCAGAGCAAGGGGGCCAGUAUCCAGAGUACCGCGAAGCACGAGGAAUUUUGCGGGAAGUCGGGGGGACCACCCUCCAAGGCUAAACACUUCUUAGUGACCGAUAGCGCAUAGUACCGUGAGGGAAAGGUGAAAAGAACCGCGGGAGCGGAGUGAAAGAGAACCUGAAACCGUAUGUCUACAAGCAGUCGGAGCGCAAGCGACGGCGUGCCUAUUGAAGAAUGAGCCAACGAGUUACGGGCGCCAGCGAGGUUAAGCAGGAAAUGCGGAGCCGUAGGGAAACCGAGUCUGAAAAGGGCGGAUAGUUGGUGUUCGUAGACCCGAAACUGUAGUGAUCUACCCAUGAUCAGGUUGAAGCACGGGUAAAAUCGUGUGGAGGACCGAACCGGUGAGUGUUGAAAAACUUUCGGAUGAAUCGUGGGUAGCGGUGAAAUUCCAAUCGAACGCAGAGAUAGCUGGUUCUCCUCGAAAUAGCUUUAGGGCUAGCCUCAGGCAGUAAGCAUAGGCGGUAGAGCACUGAUCGGGAUAGGGACUGUAAUGGUUACCGAACCCUGUCAAACUACGAAUGGUUAUGCUGCAGAGCCUGGGAGUCAGACUACGAGAGAUAAGUCCCGUUGUCAAAAGGGAAACAGCCCAGACCAUCAGCUAAGGUCCCCAAUGCCAUACUAAGUGGAAAAGGAUGUGGGGUCUCAUAAACAACCAGGAUGUUGGCUCAGAAGCAGCCACCAUUUAAAGAGUGCGUAAUAGCUCACUGGUCGAGAGGCCCUGCGCCGAAGAUUCCCGGGGCUAAAGUAUGGAACCGAAGCUAUGGAUGCAUACGUAGGUAUGCGUGGUAGAGGAGCGUUCCCAUCGGGUUGAAGUCGUCCUGGAAGGGACGGUGGACUGGUGGGAAGUGAGAAUGUUGGCAUGAGUAGCGAAAAGAAUGGUGAGAAUCCAUUCCACCGAAAGCAUAAGGAUUCCUGAGCAACGAUCGUCGUCUCAGGGUAAGUCGGGACCUAAUCCGAGGCAAAGAGCGUAGGAGAUGGACAACUGGUUGAUAUUCCAGUACCGGCAGUGAUCGUUUGAACGAAGGAGUGACGCAGGAAGGCAGGUCCGCACGAGAUUGGUAGAUCGUGUGCAAGCGUGCAGGCUGGUUACCAGGCAAAUCCGGUAACUGAGGCUGAGGCGUGAUGCGGAGGGAACUUGUUCCCGAAGGGAUUGAGCCUACGCUGCCGAGAAAAGCUUCUAGUGAGAAAGCUGCCGCCCGUACCGUAAACCGACACAGGUAUGCGGGGAGAGAAUCCUAAGGUGCGCGGGAGAACCCUCGUUAAGGAACUCGGCAAAAUGUACCCGUAACUUCGGGAUAAGGGUAGCCACAAAGGUGAAGGGACUAGCUCCCGGAGCCCGGUGUGGUCGCAGAGAAGAGGCCCAAGCGACUGUUAACCAGAAACACAGGUGCCUGCGAAAGAGAAAUCUGAAGUAUAGGUGCUGACACCUGCCCAGUGCUGGAAGGUUAAAGAAGGAUGUCCGGGUUCGACCCAAAGCAUUCGACUGAAGCCCCAGUGAACGGCGGCCGUAACUAUAACGGUCCUAAGGUAGCGAAAUUCCUUGUCGGGUAAG
rnacentral:rRNA from 1 species